UACGGAGGGUGCAAGCGUUGUCCGGAAUCACUGGGCGUAAAGGGCGCGUAGGCGGCUCGGUAAGCAGGGGGUGAAAUCCUGCGGCUCAACCGCAGGGCUGCCUUCUAAACUGUCGAGCUCGAGCACGGUAGAGGCAGAUGGAAUUCCCGGUGUAGCGGUGGAAUGCGUAGAGAUCGGGAAGAACAUCAGUGGCGAAGGCGGUCUGCUGGGCCGUUGCUGACGCUGAGGCGCGACAGCGUGGGGAGCAAACAGG
rnacentral:rRNA from 1 species